AUUGCUGUAAUGCGGGUGAUAAUUCAGAAAAAUAAAACCGCGCCCUUGGUCAAUCGUGUGAAACAGCGGGUUCCAAUCGAACAUCGACAGUUUGUGGGUGGGCAUGGUGUUGGCGACAAACAUCUUACCGCUCGCGAUCAUAUUGGCGCGCUG
rnacentral:ncRNA from 1 species